rnacentral:tRNA from 1 species
GAGGCUUUAGCUUAAUUAAAGCAUCUGUUUUGCAUACAGAAGAUGUGGGUUAGUUUCCCGUAAGUCUUA